UUUCCUACGUGUUACAUUAUUAUUUAACCUCUGAACUCGUGUGAACUAAACACUUUAUGUCUUGUCUCUUCAGAACACUGCUGGUGACGACCAUAGUGACAAGCAGCUGGAUCACACCGACUACAGGAGAGUGGACUGUGACCUGUUUGUGAAGAAGAGCAUCAGUUUAAGGGAGGCCUUGUGCGGCUUCACUUGCACUCUGUACCCCCUGGACGGGAGGAACGUGAGUGUGUCCAGGUCACCAGGAGCAGUGCUGUCACCAGGAGUUGGAGUGUCUCCUGCCCACAGGACCUGACCCACCAGCAUUGGACCCAGAGGCAGAGGAAGCGGAUAUGAUAGAGAGUGAGGGGACGAGGGGAGUGGGCGGGGCACAAGGGGGUGGAGCCAUAUAUGAUGAAAAUGAGGAGGAUGAAGGAGUGGGCGGGGCACAGAGGGUGGGCUGCUCUCAACAGUGACACUCUUAGGAACUCUAUAUUCACCGCUUUGAUUGUAUUUAUGGACUGGUUUUGUGGUUACUGCUAUUGUUCUAAUUAUGUGAAUAACGUUUGCCCAUACCACUCAUCAUAAUUAUUGUGAACGGUAA